GGGGGCAGUAGCGGUGAAGCGGAACCUUUAUAUAGGGGUCGUUGCUUCCGGGUUGGUUUUGUGACGAACUUCCUGUUUGCCUCAGACACCAUGUCAGACACAAUCUGGAUGCUAAUGGCAGCGCUUCCGUCGACUUUGCUGAAUCCUGUUUUACUGUUCUUCAGAUUGUGUACAUCACUGAAGUAGCAGUCCUGACACUUGGGACCUGUAACAUGAAGGAACAGCGAGAAGUGGGCAAGCAGGGUUUCCCCCAGAAUAGCCUGGUGGUCGGAGCACCGAGGCGGUCCACCGUCGGUUCACCUCGGUUGACUAGUGGAUGAAUAUUACUUCUGACUGAGAAGAUGCAGUGAUUUCUUUGGCAGCUCCCUCCACGCCUAUUGGUUACUGAAAGAUUUCAAAUGUUGUUCCCUUCCAAAGUGUCACUUGAUUUCCUAGAUCUGAAGGAAAAUCUACUUUAUUGAUAAGCUCUCAACAAUAGAAACAAUAUUAUUUCAUUGUAUUUUUUAAAUAUCUAUGAAAUAAAAAUCUAUUACUUA